rnacentral:rRNA from 1 species
GCUUACGGCCAUACCAACCUGGCUAUGCCCGAUCUCGUCUGCUCUCGGAAGCUAAGCAGGUUUGGGCCUGGUUAGUACUUGGAUGGAAGGCCGCCUGGGAAUACCAGGUGCUGUAAGCU